AACAAAUACCUCUGAAUGUUAUGUACUUUCUGCACAUGUGGUAUUUUCAUACAAAAACAAAAUUAAUGCCAACAGCAAAGCUAAGCUGGUCCUUGGACCUGCUGAUAAGAUGCCCGCCUUCUCUUAGUGAUCCAGAUGUUCCAGUGCCGAGAUGGACCACACACACAUCAUUUCUUUCCCAAGAUUCCUCCGACCUCUCCCGCUUAACGGAACUGAGAGCCCUAAUCAGCACCAAGGACAGAUCCACAGCCUUGGGUCUCAGAACCACAGACAGCAACUCAACAAAUGGGGGGAUCUUCCGUGUGAAGACCAAGGACACUGAAAUGAAGAAAUGACCUCCUCCCCACCUCCAGGACGGUGUGGAACAGGACACACUCAGGUGAUCCUUAAACAACAUGGAUGUGACGUGUGCAGACUCACUUAUACACCGAUUGUUUUUUCGAUAAAUGCAGUACCACACUAUAAAUGUAUCUUCCCUUCCUCAUGAUUUUCUUAACAUUUUCUUUUCUC